CAAGGCCCAAAUCGAAGCUAUUAUUGUGAAAUUUUGCAUAACAAUUGUAGUCAAAAAGCGGCCAAUAGUACUAUAUUCACUCUAUUUUGGUCACUGAUUAGUUUAUUCCUACAACUAAAUCGGUAUUACCCAAAUAGAGUACAUUG
rnacentral:snoRNA from 1 species